rnacentral:rRNA from 1 species
AACGAACGCUGGCGGCAUGCCUAACACAUGCAAGUCGAACGAAACCUCCGGGCUUGCUGGCUCCCGGGGGCGUGACGGGUGGGGUCCUGCCCUUGGGUUCUGCCUAACUCUCCGAGAUAGGUCCUAAUAACGGAUUAUAUCUCCGGACCGAAGAUUUAUCGCCUGUGGUUGGGCCCGAGUUGUUUUAGGUUGUUGGUAGGGUAAAAGCAGACCAAGGCGACGAGCCAUAGCUGGUUGGAGAGGAGGAUCAGCCAGACUGGGACUGGGACACGGCCCCGACUCGUACGGGAGGCAGCGGUGGGGAAUAGUGGAGAAUGGGCGAGAGCCUGAGACAGCAAUGCCGGGUGAAUGAUGAAGGCGUUAGGGUUGUAAAGCGCUUUUACCCGGGAUGAUAAUGACAGUACCGAGAGAAGAAGCACCGGCUAACUCCGUG